ACGUGGGGCCCCUUCGUCCCCGGCGUCCGGGCGCCUCGUACCAGCCCCCACCUUGGCCUCGGUCCGAUGGCUGCGUCCGGUGCGCAGAGAGGCUGGAGACUCGCCCACCGCCGAGGGCCGCUCGCUCGGGCCCGCGGCGUUUGGGGGAAGUGUUAGGCACCCGGGCCGCUAGAAGAAUGGCGUCCAUUUACAUAAUGCUUUGUUUGCAUCCUGCUGGUCUCGUCAGUGCAGCCUCAGUAGCCCCACCUCCUGCCCCGUCUCUCCCGCCGCAGCCUCUUCGGGCGUUAGUGGAGUAGUGCUCGGCGAAGGGCUGCCGGCGGGGCCCGCGGGGCGCCCCGCUCGCGCGGCCCGGGCCACGCUCACUGGACUGGCCCACCCUCGGCGCGGCCGCCAUCUUGGGAGGGCUUCCUGACCGAGUCGUCUCGCCCGAAAUGGCCAUCGAGACGCGGGAUAGCGAGUUGUGAUUUUAUUUUCCCCCUCUCCUCGUUCCACCGCCAUACCCAGCCUAGAGGAGAGCAAGAUAAACCCAGAGAGAUGAAGUGACUGACUCAAGGUCACACAGAAUGGAAUCCAUAUCUCCUGAUUUCCUUACUGCCUGGGACUCUGCUGAUGGGAACCACCUGUUCCAGGUCUUUUGAGCUUUGGAUUUCCCCAGUCCUUCAGUCCUUUCAGUUUUGAAUUGAAACCUGCUCUACUGGGCGAGGCCAGGCCCAGGAGGACUUUGACAGCUCACACCAGCUUUUCUUUUCCUAGAGCCAGCUAGUAUGUGAGCUUGUGAUUCGAGAGGUGUUGAAUCAGCUGUUGGGCAUUGAUCUCAGCCUUCAGCAACCUUCAGUUACCACCUACAAAUGGAUGAUUUACAGUCUCCAGUUCACAGGGAGAACUUAAUGGGCUGGAGAAAUGUUAAGAGUGCUUGCUACUCUUCCAGAGGACCAGAGUUCAAUUCCCAGCAUCCAUACCCUGUGGUUCAAUUCAACAUCCUCCUCAAGCCCCCACGCAUAUGUGGCUUAAAAACACCCACCCACCCACACACAAAUAAAAGCAAAACAAACCUUAAAAACAA